AGUAAGAUCAGCUAAUAAAGCUUUGGGGCCCAUACCCCUACCAUGAAGGUUAAAGUCCUCCUCUUGCUA
rnacentral:tRNA from 1 species